rnacentral:tRNA from 1 species
GUUUUAAUAAUUUAAAGAAAAUACUGAUCUUGUAAAUCAGAAAUAAGAACCUCUUUUAAAACU